GUGCAGCAGGCGAGAAUAAUUCACAAUGGACGAAAGUCUGAUGGUGCAACGCCGCGUGGAGGAUGACGGUCUUCGGAUUGUAAACUCCUGUCAUCCGGGAGUAAGACCUGACGGUGAAUAGCCGGCAGGGUUGAUAGUACCGGAAGAGGAAGGGACGGCUAACUUCGUGCCAGCAGCCGCGGUAAUACGAAGGUCCCGAGCGUUGUUCGGAAUCACUGGGCGUAAAGGGAGCGUAGGCUGCGCGGUAAGUCAGAUGUGAAAUCCCGGGGCUCAACCCCGGAACUGCAUCCGAUACUGCCGUGCUAGAGGGUUGGAGAGGUAGCUGGAAUUCUCGGUGUAGCAGUGAAAUGCGUGGAUAUCGAGAGGAACACUCGUGGCGAAAGCGAGCUACUGGACAACAUCUGACGCUGAGGCUCGAAGGCCAGGGUAGCGAAAGGGAUUAGAUACCCCCGUAGUCC
rnacentral:rRNA from 1 species